AAAAAAAAAGUUUUAAAAGUUAUUGGAUGUAACUUUCAAAGCUGAGAAAUACAUAUGUGAGGUCUGUGCUUCAGUUAACCUCUGAAAAUAUUAGAGUACAUCCUCCUUUAUCAAUAUCUUUCAUUCCCAUACGACCUAGCACAGUGGAAUUGGAAAUUGACACACAAUUUCUAUGACUCUCUUUUUUUUCUCUACUUGGUAAUUUAAAUCAUGACUAAAACCACUUGAUUGAAUCCGCUUUAAUCUGACUUAACUUGAAACAUUUGCCAUCAGCGACUGUAAACAACCAAGUUACCCCCAGUUUCAGCAAUGCACAGUUCCCUUUCUUGCCCAAUAACCACCUCAGUAUUGUGGCAAGUUAUGUCAAACAAGCAUUGCAAACAGUUCACCCACACAGGCAGAGGAAGCAACAACAUCCACAGACCAUCCACAGUAGACACUGCAAGUAGGAAGGGAAAAGUGUCAAUUAUGCUUCCUUUAUCUCAAUGAGAGGGAGCAAAUCUAAUUAUAACGGAUGAACAAAUUAUUAUCUCCCAAGGAUGCAAUGAAAAUUUCCAAGAUCUUGAAUCAAAAUGAAAAGUGCUGCAAUUUUUAAUAAUGUAGGAUUAGCUAAUUCAGGUUGUGGAUGCUUUACUGCUGUGACCACAUCUGCUCCUUGAGACCGUCUUCCCUCUGGCCGUGACUGAUGGCUUUGUUCUCUGGACCAGACAGUGCAACUUCAGAAGCCAAAGGUCACCGGCCCCCCCAGGUGUCCAAACACUAGGUGUGGUGUGGCAGGGGCAGCACUCAGAACCCUGGUUUUCCGUCUCCUUCCCUGCUUCCUUUGUGAUUAACGCCACACCCCCCAGGGUCUCUAUUUGCCCUGCUUGGCAGAGCAAAAGACAAUGUUCUUUCAGUUUUCCUUGUUCCUCCCACCGCUUCAUUCACCAGAGGCUUCGCCUUAGUUUGUGUCUUCCUGUUUACAGCAGCAGCAAAAGGCAUUGAAGUACCGAAGUGCACAGAGAACUGUGCGUGCGUGUGAGAAGCUCUUCACAAAACUGUCUACCUACAGGGAUGUCUACGGCAACAUGGCCCAAAAAACCCCCAAACUCUAAACUACACAGAUGAUCAGUGGCCCAGUGGUCAGGACAUAUUUAAGUAUAUUAAAACAGAUUUACCCAAUGGGCUAUGAGGCAGCCAUUAGAUCAGAUAAAUGUGAAAAAAAGAGAAACAUUAAGAUUAUAAUAUAUAGGCAAACACUUAGAACACUAUUGGAAAGAGCAGAAGUUAAAAUUGUACCCAAGUGCUGAUCACAACUUUAUCAAAAGUAUGAUGACAUAUAGAUAUAGCUACAGAAAUUAUAAAAUUUUACAUAUGUAAAUAUAUACAUAUAUCUAUAAAGAGAGAGAGAGGGAUAUAUCUAUAUAUCUCCAUAGACAUAUACAGUGCAAAUAAACUAAAAGAAGGAGUUGGUCGAUGACUAUUAAACUCUAGGACUCUAUGAAAACAGAGUGAUGUAGCUCUGGCCAGACUUAAAAUAUCCAACACUUCAGAAUUACAGAAGCUUGUGACCAAAAGGGACUUGAGUUCAACCUUUUCACUUUACAGCUUAGUAAAUUUACACCAAAAUAAAUUAAGUGACUCAUCCAUGAUCAUACAGCUACUCACUGGCAGAACCAAGACCAGCACUGGGAUCUCUCCACUCAUAAAUCUGUCCUCUUUUCUACAGAGCCCAUGGCAAUGGAUUCAUGCAAAUAAGUCAGAGGGUCCUUGUCAUCACUCAGCAUCCAAAUCCCUGGACAGUUAGGAUCUUUCUCAGGGAAGCAUGCCUUCAAAACACUAAAAUAUUUCCUAAUAAUCAACCAUUUUAUGACUUGAAUUCCCACUCAAAAUUCCAUCCUUGUUCACCAUCAGCAGCUACACCCGAUCAUGUCUCUUAGUGUCCUGUACUUCCCACAAAAUGAUGUGUGUCCACUGCAAAGUGAAACUGCAAAUCCUGCCCCCAAAACAGAAUUUCAGGAGGUUAAUCAAAAUGACAUUAAAGAACUUCCCCAAUAACAGGUAAAAACAAUGGCAGACGGGGACUAAGCAGUUUGAGGAGGAGACAAUCAUUAAAGAGAAAAACUGUAAGUUGGUGGCAAGCUAGGGAUUUCAAUAUGGAAUGAGUUUAAUAUUAAAGAAUAGAAAAGACCCCAAAGGAAAAUGAUCAAGACCUGGAAUAUUUUUGAAAAACUGGCCAUCUUUAAGAUGUGAUGUAAAUGUCACAUGUGAUUUAAAAAGUACCACAAUUUACGAUCAUACAAUUUUGUCCAAAGAUUUACUCAUCUCAAAACCAUCAACAGUUGAUUUUCCAUUGCUCAUUCUAAGAGACAGCCAUGGUCAAAAUGAUAAUCUAAAUUUUGUUGACUAUAAACUAAAAUAAACUUAUUUUCAUAAUUUUCAGUUUAUUUUUUUGCAAGAUAAAAUCCCAAAGCUUUUUUUCAUUACAUUAUGAAAUUUUGGUCCUCAUUUAAGUGGAUUCACUUCAAAUGGCCUUUUUCUGGUUCUAAUUAUCCUCGAAUAACAAGGACCUGCUGUAGAAUUUUCAGAAAGAAUUUUUUAAAGUAUAAAUCAGUAAUAUGGAGGGUAUUUAUCUAUCAUUUCAAGCCAAGCAUGCAUUUUAGAAGCGGAAACUUCAGAUCCGAAAUAUGAACUACUCAGGGACGUCACGUCUCUAGCUGGCCCCUCUAUCCUCAAAAAUAACACAUUUUUAUAUUUUGUUUUAUACAAAAUGAAAGCAAAGAUUACAAAAUUACAAAUGACUAUUUUGUCCCAAUUCUUUUAAAAAGUGUGAGAAUAUAAUAAUGCAUUUAGCAUCCUGAAUUACAUAAUUAAGUUUCCAGUUUUACCAUCCUAUUUUAUUUGAACAAAACCAUGGAAAAAGCUCCAUGAGGUUCUAAUAGUUGCUGAUUUGCAUACUGUGAUUGGUUUUAUCACCUGCAAUUAUCUGUAGUUCUGUAUAAUUCAUGGUCUGAACUUCACCUGAGAACAAUCAAGUUGGCUGAGUUUCCCUAUGUUCAAAAUGUUUAUUACAUGAAAAUAGUUAAUAUUCAGGGCUCUCUAACAUUCACGUAGAAAAUGAAAGCUAUUCUAGUAUGAUAAAAACACAAGGCUUCAUUUUAGAAGCUUCAAUUAUUUAAUGGAACAUUUUCUUCCAGAAGAAUAAGAAAAAUAAGAGGAUAUUUUUCCAUUAAAUAAAAUUGCAACAUUCUAUAGUAGAAAGAUAUUUUUCCUUUUACUUUCCAAAUGGGUAACAAUAUUAGUGGUCUAAAUAAUUGAUGAUGAACACUUAAACUAUGUGGGAUAAUAAAUAAUUUUUAAAGAUUCAUUUAUUAGGGACUUGUCAGCUUCUAUGACCAAGAAAAUAAACAAUUUAUGAUUUAGUUUGUUUACUAAUUCUGUCUCAAAGGUCAAGACCAAGAAUAUUGACUCAGUCUUGCUGUCAGACUCAUUUAUCUCUCAAAUCAGUAUAAAUGUAUGGCUCAGGAUUAAGAUGUGACUAGUAGUUCUCUCCAGGAAGGACAACAAGGCCCCGGUUCCCCACAGCCACCAGAUGCAGAGGGACAGCGAUGUGGAACACCUGCCAGGCUCUACUGCAGACGCCCGGAUUGUUUCACUGCUGCAGUCUAAGGACAAGAAGAAGAGUAAGCUCGAAACCAGCUCCCAAAUCUGAGACUCACGCCAAGGGAUGAGAAGAGCCCUCUGGCCCUUCCUGGAAGGGACGCAGUGAGCAGCCAGUAGCACAGGGAGCUCAAGGACAGGGAACCCUGCUCCAGCUUGCUCAGGUGAGCGGCCGUCAACCUCCGUGAAGAACCCUGGUGGUUUCAGGGCCAUCGAAAGGACGUUUUUGUGCAGGGAAGCUUGAGCAACCCACAGAAAACAAGAAGUCAGGAAUUUGGCUCCUUAUUUUCAGCCAAUUGACUUAGAAGCAGAUAUUUCUCAACAUUAAACCUGCCUUUAAAAGGAAAGGCAUUCCUAGACUUACUUUUGACUCUAAGAGAUGAGACGAUUAAGAUGAUAAAGCUGAGCAGCCUUCUAGGCAUGAGCGAGGCAGAACACCCUACCCCAUAAAAGCAGGUGGGCCAGGUGGGCUCAGGGAUGCCUCGGACUGAGGCGUUCGGCCACUUCCUAACUCGGGCAGCUUCCUCCCUUCUCCAAACCUCUUUACUCUUCUGUAAAACGGGUAGAGGAACAAACCCACACAAUUCUGACAGCUGUAGGUAUCAAGCAUGCAGCACUGUGCUUGGCAUACACAAAACGUUCGGGGGUUAGUUAUUACUAUUUUUCUUACUAAAUUCAGAAUAGAAUAACUUUCUACCUUCUCUGAACUUUGGGGGAGGCUGCAUUAGACGUUUUCUCUAAUUAAAGCUGACCCUUUCCGCCCAAAACUAUGACCAGGGAUUUUUUUAUUACUAUGAAGAUACAGAAACACUAAGACUCCAGAAGGCAGCAUUCUGAACUCCUUUUUCCUGCCUCCAGAAUAGACACGCCCCUUAUGACUGUGUUUAAUGAUCACUGACAGUGACAUAGCGCCAGGCCCCCAAAGUGUUUUCCAUGUCUUAACUUAUUUAAAACUCAUAAUCCUAUGAGGCAGGAAGGGUCCUUAUCUCCAUUUGACAGAUCAGUAAACUGAGACACAGAACCGUUAGGCAACUUGUCCAGGUGUCACAGCCAAACCAGGAUUCAAGCCAUGCAGGGCAGCUGCAGAGUCCGCACAGGACCUCUGUUUUGUGUAUGUAUUUGGGGGGUGCAGAGAAGAAAGGCAGGGAGGGAAGAAGAAGGAAAAAACAAAACAGUCUAGAAGAUUCUCUCCCUCAAUACACACACACACACACAUUCACAGCAAAGAAAAUUUCAAUUGUAAAGACAUCACCGAGUACAUUCUCACCGGCUGGUUGUUCUAAUAAAAAUGUUCAAUAUCUUAGGAAAAGGGCAUUCUUUUCCUAGAGAUACUUGGAGAAGCAGGAGGCAAGAGAGGCCUGGACACCAGGCGGGAUGGUGUCACAGAGAAGCAUAGAAAGAUGAGACCUGCAGCGCCGUCCCUGGAGAGGAGCGUGUUGUUGUGGACCCAAGUGCGGUCUAGGACCAGGCUGUUGUGUUUAUCACAACUACACAAACACAAGACACCUGUGCAUUCCAGACCUUUCUCCCUCCCUAGAAAUAGUCCCCAAAGCAUUCUUCCUAAAUAGGAUGACUUCAAAUGUGAGAAAAGCCAGAAUACCAGUAGCUGCUACUGAAACAAGGAUGGGAAUAUAUGUGUCUGGUCUCAAACUUCAUCACCAACCCGACUCAAAUCUCCCCUCGCCAUUAAAUAUUAUCCCCACUGCAGGGCAAGCCUGUGAGAUGGAGUGUUGCGCUUCAAGCCACAGAGUGACUGAUACAUAUAUAUAUAAUAUAUAUUAUCAACGUUACAUAAUUAAAAUUCCCGCUUGUAGAUGCUAUGACAGGCUAAGCAGCCCAGUGAACUUCCUGGAAGACCACAGCAACCACCUGCCCCCAUCCCACACACAGCCCUGGGAAUCGCGCUGGGUGACUACUGCACCCCAGGAGGAAGGCACACACCUGCGAGAACAGGGAAGGGAACAACGAAGCUUAACAUAGCUCCUGUUGCGCCUACGGUUAAUAUAGUUAUGCUAGCAAUCACAAGUGUGUCCCAAAAUACAAUUUAAGGCUCUCUUCACACAACCAAAGGGCAAAAGGAAAACUAAAGAGGAAUUUGGCAUUUGUGGGAAAGCUCAAGGUGAGAGAUUGACAUCCUAACCCACUUGAACUAAGCAACCUUACGGGCAGAAUUAGAAGGAAACUGGGUGUUUGGGGAGUAGCUGUGAAUUCAGGAAGAAAGACGGCUCCAAUGAGAGAGAAGGGCUGGGAAUUGCUGUGGAGCCAGGCUGGUCCCUCUUGUGCAUACACCGCACUCCUCCUGGCAUUUCCGAGGGCAGAAAGUAGGAAACUCAGGUGAGUCAGGAUCCCAGGGGCUUAGAGAACAACUUCUGCUGGAGGCUAAGAGGCCCUGGGUUCCACAAAAAUGAAGACAGCCUAGGAAAGAAGAUGCAGCAAAAAUAAAGGCUUCAACAGCCAGAAGCAGCAGCCAAGUUCAAUUACACAGAACGUGGGAGCUGCUUAUUUAAAAUGCGAAUUGGUAAUUUCAGACGGUGAGUAACCUUGAUGUUUUCUGUGAAAAAACCCCGCUGCUUGAAUCCUCUCACUCUUUUGAAGGGAAACAAACCCCGUAUUUUGUAUUUAAAAAGCAGUCUAUGUGGCUAGAUGCAGACUAUGGGAAGCACAUUCAUACAAAUUAAAAAUUGCUCCAAGUUUUCCUCAAGCUCCGUUUCAGAAUCAAGAUUGCUCCAAGUUUUCCUCAAGCUCCGUUUCAGAAUCAAGAUGGACAGAAAAACGGCCCUAACCAGCGACAAGCUGGUGAAGCUCCGUGCCCGGUGUGGCUGCACCUGUCAGAGCAAACAGGCGCCAGCCCGGCUGUGACAGCACCUCAUCGCGUGACGCCGUAACUCUGCAUUUUACUGUGCCCAAGAGACCAGUCUGAACAACUGGUCGACAGGCCGGACUCCACCCGGCCCUUUUCUUUGUCUGAUAGCUGAACAAAAGAAGGGAUUUUAAUAAUUGAACGACUGCUGUUCAGUUGCUAUAUUUUUAACAAUAGCUCAGGACAUGUUGAGGCCAAAUGGACGAGGAGAAUUUUCUCAGCAAGAUUUGCUAAAUUUUUUAGUGAGUGGUAGCGGUGACGGAGGGACACUGGAUGUGAAGCCAGAUGGGGCCAAAUCUCCACUCGAGGGAGCAGAAGGCAGCUCAGGUCCAGGCCUGCGUCACCUGAGGGCACCGGCAGGCCCACGUGGAAGCUUCCGGAGAACAUGGACUGCGCUAUUUCCUCGGGGCAUGAUGGGCUGGUGAAAACGGUGAGCUCCAAAGAAAACAAACCCAACAAACUGAACAGUGGUUUGAAUUGUAAACCCUCCCCUCAGACAAAUUUGUAAGGACCUGGAAAGGGGUUUUAAAGGCUCACUGCGCACUCACGGGCCCUGGCUCACCAAGGAAGGACGAAGGAAGGGAGGUCUCCAAACUCAGGGACGAAGCGCUAUUUUUCUUCAAAAAGAAAAAAGACAACACAGGAAAGAGUAAAACAUAGCCGAUGUAAAUUAAUGCCCCUAAAAUAACAGGGGCUCGGAAUGCGGGCUUCUUAACAGAUAUCCUGCCAAGACACAUUGUUGACUGUGUCAGACAAAGCUGCUGAGAUGAAAAGGAAGCGGUGCCCCUGGCAAGGCUGGGGCUCCAGCUUCAUUUAUGCAUGACGGAAACUCACAGUAAAACGAAGGCCAUCACCAGUCACGUCUUUUACUGAGAAAGCCCUUUGAUGAGGAUUUCCCCGAAAACACUCUCACCUACCACGUGAAAACGGGGACACCCUCUCACCAAGAAGACACACUUGCAAAAUCUUUCCACCAACAGGAGCCUGAGAAAGUCACAGGGAGAGUUCUGGGCAUCCCCUCAGUGGAUCCCCUCCCGCAGCUUCUAGAGCAGGGAAGAAAUUCAUACUGCCUCCAUUAUUUAUGGGAGGCAAUAUCUGGCUGCUCCCCCUACACUCACACCCCUAUUAGCAUGAGUUCGUUCUUCUUGGCUAUUCGGGGACUUAAAUAAAAACAAGUCUGAAAAGCACUGUACUUUAGCCCAUAACCUCAAAGCUCACCUGACAGAGGAGGGAGACAAUGCGUCUGAGUAAACACGUGGGUACUGUCACUUCCCUCUUCUCCACCCUCCAGCCCCGCCUCAGCUCAAACACAGGGCGCCCCUCCUUCCUUUCUGGGUGGAAGCUGUGGGAGCCGCCAGCAGCCAUCUUUCAGGCCCAUCCACUGCAAGAGAAAAUGAGGCCAAGGUACACAGAGCACUUGAGCCCCGUCUGCAGCCAGCGUCAUCCUUGGAUUCCCCUAGACAUGGUGGCAACUUAAAAAGUAAUCAACGAAGGUGCUUCCCUGUGAACCGUCCCAGGCUGAAGCCUCAUGAAGACUUCUCCACAGGAGACAGCAGGUGCUACUCUGUGAUCCCGAGAGACCCAGGGCGGAACCAUCCCUCGGAGACCAGCGGAGACGCCGACCUCCCCACUGGAUUCUGCUAAGAUGAACCACUGGAGCGGCCCAUGCGGCAGCCGCCCACCACGGCCCGCUGCCUCUGCGCUGGCUCAGACACUGCUCCCCGGAUGCUGUGUGCAGCUGUAGGCGGAAUCAGGACGUGAACUCAGACCACAUGCUGAUGAGGUCUCUCAGAUGUGGUAGGAAUAAUUAAUCAAGUUAUUCCAUUUCAUAAACUAGGCCAUCCUAACAGGCAUCAGUUUAAAAUUUACUACGGUGACACUGAAAAUAAAUCCUCAAACUGACAAAGCUCACA